GACGAACGCUGGCGGCGUGCUUAACACAUGCAAGUCGAACGGAAAGGCCUUUUCGGAGGUACUCGAGUGGCGAACGGGUGAGUAACACGUGGGUGAUCUGCCCUGCACUCUGGGAUAAGCCUGGGAAACUGGGUCUAAUACCGGAUAGGACCGCACUUUAGUGUGUGUGGUGGAAAGUUUUUUCGGUGUAGGAUGAGCCCGCGGCCUAUCAGCGUGUUGGUGGGGUAAUGGCCUACCAAGGCGGCGACGGGUAGCCGGACUGAGAGGUUGGUCGGCCACAUUGGGACUGAGAUACGGCCCAGACUCCUACGGGAGGCAGCAGUGGGGAAUAUUGCACAAUGGGCGCAAGCCUGAUGCAGCGACGCCGCGGGGGGGAUGACGGCCUUCGGGUUGUAAACUCCUUUCGCCAGGGACGAAGCGUUUUGUGACGGUACCUGGAGAAGAAGCACCGGCUAACUACGUG
rnacentral:rRNA from 1 species